GUCUAUGGCCAUGCUACCCUGAACAAGCCUGAUCCCAUCGGAUCUUGGAAGCUAAGCAGGGUCAGGUCUGGUUAGUAGUUGGAUGAGAGACCACUUAGGAAGACCAAGUGCUAUAGGCA
rnacentral:rRNA from 1 species